GCCCUCGUGGUCCAACCCGGUCAGGAUGCCGCCCCGUCACGGCGGCGGUCCGCGUUCGAAUCGCGGCGGGGGCG
rnacentral:tRNA from 1 species